AGGGAUAUAGCUCAGUGGUGGAGCCCAUGCUUAGCAUGCAGGAGGUCCUGGGUUCAAUCCUCAAUACCUCCA
rnacentral:tRNA from 1 species